CAAAAUGAUGCUACAACCUGACUGGGGGAUGGCUCGGCUCGAGAGCUGAAGAGGGUCGUGACAAGCUGCGAUAAGCCACGGGGAGGCGCAUGAAUGCCUUGGAUCCGUGGAUUGCCUAAUAGGACCUCCUGACGCUUUGCCGUCAUUCCCACACUGGGAAAGGGAACCCACCGAAUUGAAGCAUCUUAGUAGGUGGAGGAAUAGAAAUCAAAUGAGAUUCCGUGAUUAGUGGCGAACGAAAACGGAAUAGGACAAACCGAAUCCCCUUGGGAAACCAUGGGGAGAUGUGGGGUUUGGAUUACCUUUUGUCUAAAUUCGUGAAACAGAAGUCGACCUGGAAUGGCGCACUACAGAGGGUGAAAGUCCCGUAUGUGUAACGAACAUGACCACGUGGUAACACCAGAGUAGCGUGCGUUGGAUAUCGCGCGUGAAUAUGGGAGGCAUAAACUUCCAAUCCUAAAUACUACUCGAGACCGAUAGUUUACAAGUAGAGUGAUCGAAAGCUGAAAAGUAUCCUUGACGGGAUGUGAAAAGUACCUGAAACCAGUCAGGAACAGGCUGAAUGGGCGUGAAAGCGAUGAUAUGAGCAGCGUCCAUUCGUGCGUUUCGAAAAAUGCCCCUGGGAGUCUUGAUUAUUGGCGAGGUUAAGCAGUUAAUCUGCGAAGCCGAAGGGAAACCGACAAGUCCGCAGCCCGUAAGGGUGAGGGACGGGAUGUGCUCGUCCGAAGUCAAUAGUGGAGAACCUGAAGCCCGACGAUCUAUGCCUGGCCAGAUUGAAGCCCGACGAAAGUUGGGUGGAGGAUCGAACAGUUGCUGAUGUGCAAAUCGCUCUGACGAGCUGGGUAUAGGGGUGAAAGUCCAAUCGAGUUGGGCAAUAGCAGGUUCCGCGCGAGACUACUCGUAGGUAGACCUCUGUAGAGACAGAUUACGCUGUAGAGCACUGAUUGGGUGUUUAGGGAGAGCGAUCUCUCGGCAUCCUGC
rnacentral:rRNA from 1 species